rnacentral:lncRNA from 1 species
GAGGAUCGACGAUGAGGAGCUUCUGGUGUUUAAUCCAAGGGCUGUGCUUCCUUGUUUUGUGAUAGUGUAUACUGUGUAAGCGUGUGAAUGUGAUCAUGUCUGUGUUAUAGACUUGUAGUAUAAUGUUACAACUCGCGAGAUUUUUGUGAGGUUUGGUUUAGAUGUAAUAGUGAAGUGUGAACGCGUAAGAUGAUUAAACAAAUCUUUGUGGUGUCUUUCAAUAUGAUCCAAGCAUUUUUUGAGAGGUUGUGUGACUAGUUGAUCUUUCUUGUUUUCUGUGAUUAAGGGAAGAAAAUGGUAGACAACUGUGAAUGGAAGUUUAAUAAUGUAAUUAUGUUAACACUUUAAGAUGAUACUUACUGCUUUAGUUAGAAAGUUGAUGUUGAAAGAAAUGUCUCUUGCAUUUGUUGGAAGCAAUGAAAGAGUAGCUGUGAAAAUAAUUGGAAGAGUGAAAAAAAACAGAAGAUUUCCUAAUUGAAAGAGUGAAAAAAAAAACAGAAGAUUUCCUUUUUGUUCUUUGUGAUUUAAUAUUUUAGAAUCAAAGUUGUUGGUUUGGCCAGCUUAUUACAUUCCAUGAGAUGCAAACUGAUGGAGACCGCAUAUCACAACAAAAUCAACAUGUAAAAUCAUCCUUUGAUCGAUGUGACUCAUAAUUUUUUUUUUAUAUUAGAAAAUUGGUCACAACUCUCAACGUUGCGCCACAGUUAGAGACUGGGCAUAAUAACUUGUUAUUUGGGCAUAAUUAACCCAGACUUUUAGUCAGAAUUCUUAAUUUAUGAUUUGACAUUUUUUUGUUUUUUUUUUACAUUUUUCAGCUAAGAAACAACUUUUAUAUCUCUUAUUUAAUAGACAGUUUUUAACUUUUUUUAAUUAAAAUCUAAGAAAAACUAAAAACCGUUUCUUAAGUGAAGAUAAGAAUCCUAAUUCAGAGACUGAGGUUAAUGAUGGUCUUAGGCUUGUAGUCACUACUUCCUUCGCACCCAGCUUGAAAAAACAUGCUAUGGUUAAGUUUCACGCAUCGUAAUUAUGGUCACUGAAUUAAAGGAACGUGAGAUUUGAUAUUGGUAACACCUAAAAGCAUGAUUAGUUUAAUCUUAUUUUGAUGUUAAGGACAAAAGUUAGGGACAAUCCAAAAUAAUAGGAUUAUUGGUAGGACUUUUUGGAGUAUCUUAGCAAAGUAAUAAGAUUAUUAUAAUUAGUAAUGACAUAUAAAAGAUAAAUUUAGAAUAAAACAUAUAAUACAAAACGACUGAUUACAUGAGAAACUUAAAAAAGUGAAAAAAAAAAAUUCGAAAAAAGAAAAAAAAAACAUUUUAUUGAAUUCAUAGAAACUUAAACAUUGUAGUUAUUUGGGAGAUGUCCAAAUUUAGUCCAUAUAUUUUCAACCAAAUCAUCUUUUAAUUGUUGAUGGCCUUGUCUAUCCCGAACUCCUGCUCGACGACCCAUUGUAUUACCGAGAUUUGUAGUCCUCCUAACUUGCGUUAAGCUGAGUGUAUGAAUCUCGUUCAUCUUCGACAAUCAUAUUAUGGAGUAUGAUACAUGCUCUUAUAAUAUUUCCUAUUUUCUUUUUAUCCCAUAAAUUAGAUGGAUUUCUAACAACGGCGAAUCUAGCUUGCAGGACUCCGAAGGCACGCUCAACAUCUUUUCGGACGGCUUCUUGGUUUUUAGCAAAUAAACAAUUCUUUGGACCUUGUGGGAGUCGGAUAGAUUGAAUAAAAGUUGCCCAUUUCGGAUAAAUACCAUCGGCAAGAUAGUAAGCCAAAUGGUACUCACUGCCGUUAACAUAGAAAUUGACUUCCGGAGCAUUUCCGUUAAUAAUUUCAUCAAAAACAGGUGAUCGAUCAAGAAUAUUAAGAUCGUUCAUAGUACCUGGAGCUCCAAAAAACGCAUGCCAUAUCCAAAGAUCAGAUGAAGCUACCGCCUCCAAUACAAUUGUUGGUUUUCCGGUUCCUCGUGAAUACAUUCCUUUCCACGCGGUAGGGUAGUUUUUCCACUCCCAAUGCAUACAGUCGAUGCUCCCAAUCAUUCCCGGAAAUCCCCGUUGUUCGCCAAUUUGGAGUAGUCUUUGCAGAUCUUCCGGUGUGGGACGUCUUAAGUAUUCGUCGGCAAACAAGUGGAUUAUUCCAGCGGUAAAAUGGUGCAAACAUUUUCUAGCUGUUGUUUCACCAAGUCGUACAUAUUCGUCAACUGUAUCAGAUCCACCACCAUAUGCCAGUUGACGAAUUGCUGCAGUACAUUUUUGGAGUGGUGAUAGACUAGACCGUCCUGCUGCAUCUUGUGUCGGUUGAAAAUACGGUACUUCUGUGGAGAGACGAUGCACAAUACGCAUGAACAAUGAUUUGUUCAUUCGAAAUCGUCGUCGGAAUAAAUGGUGAGGGUAUGUUGGAGUGUUGCUAAAAUAAUCAUUCCAAAGCUUCUCGUGGUCUUCUUCCCGGUUUCUCUCGAUAAAAGUACGUUUUUUUCGCUCUUUUGGUUCUGGAAAAAAAUCAUUGUUUUCGAGAAAAUCAUCGAAGACGUUACUAAAAUCAUCGUUAUCGUCGUCUUUGUGGUAAUGAUAAUAGGAUGAAGAAGCCAUUAAAAUGUUUUAAAAAAGUGAAAACGUUUUAAAAUUGAGCGUUGGAGGGGUGAUUUGAAUAUAUGUUAUGAGGAAAGUUGAUAAUGUAUUUAUAGAACAUAAAAAUAAAAUCUUGUGAUACAUGAACUAUACAACUUGUGAUACUAAAAAACAACACAUGUGACUUUUGAGUACUUCUUGUAUUGUAGAUGGUACAUCUUGUGAUACAAAAAUCUUGUGAUACUACACACGAGAGCUUGUAAGACUACACACUGGAGCAUUGAUUUUUUUUAAAAGAAAUUGGGGUCUUGUAUUAUAGCCUUUGAUAUUUUGGCUCUUGAAAGGACUACACACGAGUUCGUUGCUUUAUUUUUUUAAGAAAGCUCGUGAUACUACAGACGAGAGCUUGUGGUACUACAGUCGAGAGUUCAAUAGAGUACAACAAAGUAAAAAAAAAUUUAAGAGCAACAAAGUAUUCAAUAUAAAACAUAAGUAGUGCAAUACAAUUUUAAGAGUUACACAUUACAAAUUAGCCAUGAAACAAAUUGAAGAGUUACAUGAGGAAGAGUUCAUAGAGUACAACAAAGUAAAAAUAGCCGAGAAAGAGUUCAAAGAUAUCACAACUAAAACCAUAACUCAUUGGCUUUACUUAAACAUGAAGAGCAUACCUAUUAAAACUAAUACCAAAACCAUUCCAGCAACAAAGUAUUCAAAGCCAUACGUGAACCUUGUUUUCUCCUUCGCUAACUCGCUAACUAUCUUCUCUAGCCUAACCACUUUCCGCUCAGUCUCAUAGUCAGUCAACAUGGUUAGAGUUUCUACCUUUUCAGCCAAUUGAAGUGUGUGUCUAUCCCUUGCUCUCAUCUCCUCCAUAACUGCCUCAUCCCACCACUUCCAUAUAUGACACUCACCAUCAUCGACAUUAACACAAGUGUAGUAUCUUCUCCCCAGAUAAUUCCUACUGUUAGAUGUGGCUAUAACAGGUUGACUACCACAGUAACAGGUCUGCGGAAAUCCGAACUCAACUUCGAGUUGAGGAGGGUACUGAGCCGGGGCACCAUAGUUGCGGCUUAUCUCUUCUUGGUCUCGACGUAUAAGAUCAUCUGUCUCGCUGUAGGGACAGUCAGCUGUCUCCCCACCAUACUCCUCUGAUUCAGAAGGUUGCGUGUAGCUGUAGUCAAGGCCCAUGUCUACCUAAACCUGAAAAAAAAAAUAUGUGUGUAGCUACCGUCAGUUCAAAGUAAAAAAAUAGAAGUGUGUAGCUAAGGACAGUUCAAAAAGCAACAUUUAAAAGACAUGUAAUAGCAAACAUCAAGUAGAUUCAUCACGUUAAGCAAACAUAAAGUAGAUUCAUCACGUUAAGCAAACAUAAAGUAGAUUCAUACAAACAAAUAAGACCCGAAUUAUCAAAGCCAACAGGGACAGAGUUCAAACAACAUUUUAAAGACAUAGUUUAUAAGGUAGAAACAUAGAAAGAUUUAGUUUUGUUGCUCAGAAAUACUGAGCGAGUAGCUUAUUCUUGACAACUUCUUCAGCUUCAGUCAGAGGGUCUUUUUUGGUUAGGAGAGAGUCUAGUAUGGCCAGUCUAGACAGCUUCUCCUUCAUCAUGAGAUCCUCCUUCUUCAUCAUGAGAUCCUCCUUCUUCAUUUCCCAAAUGGUCGAAUACUCAGCAACAGACUUCCCUUGACCAUUAUUCCUUUUAGCUUUCGCAGCCUUUACACCUUCAGGACGGAUGUCUUGAUCACCAUGACACGUGCUUGAAGUAUCAGAAACUGGCUCACCAAUUUUUCUCUUUGAACUGCCCGUGGGUUUAGGUGUGUUGAGGUUAAGCCAUUUCUGUUCAUACCUCAACACACACCACGCAUGCUCAAGAUUAAACUUCGAGUGGUGAUCAGCGUAGUAUAUCUCAUGGGCCAUCUUGAGAACAUCUGUUUCAUUCUGACCAGAACUGAUUUAUCUUUCAGCUGCAGCAUAUGCGCCACAGAACUUGCUUACUACAUCAUUGAUUUUGUGCCACCUCUGCUUGCAGUGGAGAUGCUCUCUUGUUUCACCACCCUCUCUAGCAUGUGGACUAGCUGCGACAUAUUCGCCUACUCGUUUCCAAAAACUCCCCGACUUUUGAUCAUUUCCAACGAUCGCAUCCUUGGAUGUGUUCAGCCACCCGCUGAUUAGGACCUCGUCAUCGGAUGGGGUCCAUUUCUUUCUCUCCUUGCGGUCCACAGGUGUGGCUUCAGGUUGAGUUCCAGCGUCGGUUACUUGUGAACUGAACUGAGGGAAACUUUCAUAAGGAAAGUUUUGACUGUUUAGAAGGCCCAUAUAACUAGAUGACUGACUAUAUGGAUUCCUUGGAUCCAUAGCUAUUAGAACAGAGGAAGAGAAGAGAAACCGGAGAGGAAGGGAUUGCGCAAACAAGAGAGAAAGAAGAUGGUGGAGAUAUAUGAUACAAUGAAGAUGGUGGACAUAUAUAAUAGGUAAAACUAAAGAUAAUUAAACAGUAGACAAGACCAUUACCGCUGAGAAGUAAUGAGUUACAACUAUAAACUCUAACAAGCAACCCAUAAACUACAGAGAAGUAAAGUAGACAAGACCAUUAACGAUAUGAAGAAGUAAUGAGUUACAACCAAACACUCUAAUAAUAAGUAAUGACCGAACCAUAAACUACUUUCAGUAAUGACCGAACCAUAAAAUCUGACAAGCUACACAUAGAACCACAAAGCUAGUAACAAGUUAUUAAAUAUCAGUUUACUUUUACGCAAGUACAACAACCUCUUUUGCAUUUCACAUGUAUAUGAAAAGAUUUACUCUUUCAAAACUAUGAGAAUAAUUAUGAACAAUGACCAUAAACACUUGAACAAUUAUGCUAACUCAAUCAAAGGAAAUUCACAAAUGAACAAUGAGCAUAAACACUUGAACAAUUAUCGUAAAUAUGAAAAGAUGAACAGAUUUAGUCAAUCAAAACUAUGAGAGAAUUCUGACCAAGAGUUCAUAAACGCAGGAACAAUUUUGUUUACUCAUUCAAAAGAAUUCACAUAAGAGAAAUUUAGCAAAAAUAUUACACACCAUCACAAUUACAAACCAUCACAAUCAGGAAGCAUCAUCACUCUAAAAAAAAAUUCUAACCAAGACGGAGAUAGAUCAAAUCAUCAAUCGUAAGCUCUAUAUCGCACGAAAUAAAAUUAAUCUAACCGAGACGGAGAUUGAGAAAACACAAACCUGUUUUCGAUUGGAUCGCCGUCGAGAGAGAGACAAUACGGAAACGCCGAGAAUGCUUUCCACACCGAAACUCGUCUUUCCCCUACAAAGACGAUGCAUGCAACGCAAUCGUCACAACAGAUACCAAUCAAACCCACAUAUACAUCGACUUGUAAAUCGUAAAACAGAGGACAGAGAAGAGCACAUACCUCCUCUAUAUUCGAUUCGGCGGAGAAGUCUUCGAUUACACGACUGAUCGGUGUCGCCGUCGAAAAAGAGAGAGAGGAGUCGAGAUCGCCGUCGGAAUAGAGAGAAAGGAGUCGAGACCAAGAUUAUUCGAAACAGAUCUUCGUGUUUCCUCUACCCCUUUCGGUUUUCCAAUCAAACUGUGCCACAUGCUCAAUAAGGACGAGCUCGGACGUUCCUUGAUUAACCCACGUCUCUCUUCUUUUCUUUUAUUUUUUAUUUAUUUUUCGGCCCAUUUCGCCUAAGGACGGCCUGCUGGGACGCCGAUAAUGUUGGCCUGAUUCUCUAGUUGGGGAAGGGAGUGGGAGCAAGAGUGGGGCCUUGUUGAGGAUCGACGAUGAGGAGCUUCUGGUGUUUAAUCCAAGGGCUGUGCUUCCUUGUUUUGUGAUAGUGUAUACUGUGUAAGCGUGUGAAUGUGAUCAUGUCUGUGUUAUAGACUUAUAGUAUAAUGUUACAACUCGCGAGAUUUUUGUGAGGUUUGGUUUAGAUGUAAUAGUGAAGUGUGAACGCUUAAGAUUGAUUAAAAAAAUCUUUGUGGUGUCUUUCAAUAUGAUCCAAGCAUCUUUUGAGAGGUUGUGUGACUAGUUGAUCUUUCUUGUUUUCUGUGAUUAAGGGAAGAAAAUGGUAGACAACUGUGAAUGGAAG